GGUUAAAUUCAUCUUU
rnacentral:sRNA from 1 species